UUAACUGAAACCAAAAAGCGGUUAAUUAUUGUUAAUAAUUAAAAUGAAUUUAUUAUAAUAAAAUAUUCCAGUUAAU
rnacentral:tRNA from 1 species